rnacentral:lncRNA from 10 species
GUAAGGUACGAUAGUCAUUACCGUAACCACCACGGACUUCCGCUGAGCGCCCGUCUCCGCGAAAGUACUGACCCUGGACCCCCAGUUGCCUGGGUCCACCUGUCGAACCAAACACAAGCCUCUUUUAGGUCUCUUUCACUCAUCUGAGCAGGACUUGGCUACCCAGAAACGCCACCUAACACCCGCAGCUUCGCCCCAUCAUCUGUGACUACCUACUGUGCCCGUGAGACUGUCCAGUCUAUAGACUGCCGCUCAGAGAAGAGCUUCACUCCAAACUCCAGGAGAAACAUCAGUCAAAGAUACCGGUAUACCCGACCUUUUUAAGGGGGGAAGACAGUGCGAAUGUGAGAGGUGUUUCUUCCUCAGAGAAGGGACGUGUCUCCUGAUGGUCCCACUUCAGGAGCCAGCAUCCCAGCGAACUGAUACCAGCUGAUAGAGGAGGAAAAAGCCGAGAAGCCAGUUCAGAAAGGCCUGACAUCUUCUCCCUCCCGCAGGAGCCACAGACACUCACCACUAGGUUCCCCCUCCCUUCUCAGGGACCCUGCACUUAGGUGCUCACUGAAUCCCAUUCACCUCAAGGCCCUGAAGAAAACUGCCCAGCAACUCUCCCGUCUCCUCUUGACAUAAUUUUUUCACUCUCCCAGAUUAUUCCCAUUGGUUUAUAAUAGUGUUGGGGUUUUCUCCCGUCUUGCAAGGUAAACAAAACAAAACUCAUAACCUUUAUCCCCUCCAGCUACAACCUCCUCUCUUUUUACUUCACAAUAAAACUCCUGAAAAAGAAUCAUCUGCUCCCUCUGUUUUAAAUCUUUCCUGGUCAUUCUUAAACCCCUUUCCAUCAUCAUUUCUCUCCCACCACCUCCCUGAGUCUCUCACCAUGGUGCUCAAUGUCCCAUCGCUGCCUAACCUCAGCAGUGUCUUGUCAGUUUUCUCCUGUGUGGCCCCUCAGUAGCUUGGGUGCAGCUGUUCCUCCUUGAAACAUCUCUCCUUCUUUCCUCAGCUUAAGGACAC